rnacentral:rRNA from 1 species
UACGUAGGGCGCUAGCGUUGUCCGGAAUUAUUGGGCGUAAAGAGCUCGUAGGUGGCGUGUCGCGUCUGCCGUGAAAGCCCAUGGCUUAACUGUGGGUCUGCGGUGGAUACGGGCAGGCUGGAGGCUGGUAGGGGCAAGCGGAAUUCCUGGUGUAGCGGUGAAAUGCGCAGAUAUCAGGAGGAACACCGGUGGCGAAGGCGGCUUGCUGGGCCAGUUCUGACGCUGAGGAGCGAAAGCGUGGGGAGCGAACAGG